AUUGAACGCUGGCGGCAGGCCUAACACAUGCAAGUCGAACGAGUGGCGGACGGGUGAGUAAUGUCUGGGAGACUGCCUGAUGGAGGGGGAUAACUACUGGAAACGGUAGCUAAUACCGCAUACCAUCGGAUGUGCCCAGAUGGGAUUAGCUAGUAGGUGGGGUAAAGGCUCACCUAGGCGACGAUCCCUAGCUGGUCUGAGAGGAUGACCAGCCACACUGGAACUGAGACACGGUCCAGACGCCUACGUGGGGCAGCAGUGGUGAAUAUUGCACAAUGGGCGCAAUCCUGAUGCAGCCAUGCCGAGUGUAUGAAGAAGGCCUUCGGGUUGUAAAGUACUUUCAGCGGGGAUGCGUUACCCGCAGAAGAAGCACCGGCUGACGCCGUGCCAGCAGCCGCGGUAAUAC
rnacentral:rRNA from 1 species